rnacentral:lncRNA from 1 species
GGAGGGGGUGGGGACGGUGGGGAGGAAGGAGGGGGAAAGGCACCAACCAGCAGCCGCUCCAGCCCUGCCGAAGUUUCACUUUUUGUCUGUGGGUUCGCUCCCGGGCCCCGCGCGAGCUUUCCCGGGAUAAGUAGCUUUAGCGAGCGGGGAGAGCCGGGCGCUGCAAGGAAUUGAAGAGAAGCCUGACAACUAGUGUGUUGGGAAAGGCCUGAAGGAAGCCAAACCAGCUCCUGCACAGUUGUGAUCCCUUCAGCCAGGGUGAUCCUCAGCAAGACUUCCGGUAUGUAAAUGAGCCUCAUCUGCUGUCUCUGCCUGCUGCCUGCUGUCUGGGAUACCAGAAUUCUAGGUUGAGCCUCUGUGAGCUGGGCUUGGCGGUUUAAUUGGUUUACGAUUACUAUCGUUUUUUGGUAUCUGCUACUUGAAAUAU